rnacentral:rRNA from 1 species
CCUACGGGAGGCAGCAGUGAGGAAUAUUGGUCAAUGGCCGGAAGGCUGAACCAGCCAUGCCGCGUGAAGGUCAGUGCCCUAUGGGCGUUAAACUUCUUUUGUGCGGGAGCAAUAAUGGUCACGUGUGGCCAGACGAGAGUACCGUACGAAUAAGCAUCGGCUAACUCCGUGCCAGCAGCCGCGGUAAUACGGGGGAUGCAAGCGUUAUCCGGAUUUAUUGGGUUUAAAGGGUGCGUAGGCGGUGAGGUAAGUCAGGGGUGAAAUGCCCCCGCUCAACGGGGUGAAGUGCCAUUGAUACUGCCAUGCUGGAAUGCGGAUGCCGUAGGAGGAAUGUGUGGUGUAGCGGUGAAAUGCAUAGAUAUCACACAGAACACCGAUUGCGAAGGCAUCUCACGAAUCCGCGAUUGACGCUGAUGCACGAAAGCGUGGGUAUCAAACAGGAUUAGAUACCCGUGUAGUC